AGAAUGAACGCUGGCGGCAUGCCUAACACAUGCAAGUCGAACGAAGCCUUCGGGCUUAGUGGCGCACUGGUGCGUAACGCGUGGGAAUCUGCCCUUGGGUUCGGAAUAACAGCUAGAAAUGGCUGCUAAUACCGGAUGAUGACGUAAGUCCAAAGAUUUAUCGCCCAAGGAUGAGCCCGCGUAGGAUUAGCUAGUUGGUGAGGUAAAGGCUCACCAAGGCGACGAUCCUUAGCUGGUCUGAGAGGAUGAUCAGCCACACUGGGACUGAGACACGGCCCAGACUCCUACGGGAGGCAGCAGUGGGGAAUAUUGGACAAUGGGCGAAAGCCUGAUCCAGCAAUGCCGCGUGAGUGAUGAAGGCCUUAGGGUUGUAAAGCUCUUUUACCCGGGAUGAUAAUGACAGUACCGGGAGAAUAAGUCUCGGCUAACUACGUGCCAGCAGCCGC
rnacentral:rRNA from 1 species